UACGGGAGGCAGCAGUGGGGAAUAUUGCACAAUGGGCGCAAGCCUGAUGCAGCCAUGCCGCGUGUAUGAAAAAGGCCUUUCGGGUUGUAAAGUACUUUCAGUCGUGAGGAAGGUGUUAAGGUUAAUAACCUUAGCAAUUGACGUUAGCGACAGAAGAAGCACCGGCUAACUCCGUGCCAGCAGCCGCGGUAAUACGGAGGGUGCGAGCGUUAAUCGGAAUUACUGGGCGUAAAGGGCACGCAGGCGGUUAAUUAAGUUGGAUGUGAAAUCCCCGGGCUUAACCUGGGAAUGGCAUUCAAGACUGGUUAGCUAGAGUCUUGUAGAGGGGGUAGAAUUCCAUGUGUAGCGGUGAAAUGCGUAGAGAUGUGGAGGAAUACCGGUGGCGAAGGCGGCCCCUGGACAAAGACUGACGCUCAUGUGCGAAAGCGUGGGGAGCAAAACAGGGAUUAGAUACC
rnacentral:rRNA from 1 species